AAAACUUUCAACAACGGAUCUCUUGGUUCUGGCAUCGAUGAAGAACGCAGCGAAAUGCGAUAAGUAAUGUGAAUUGCAGAAUUCAGUGAAUCAUCGAAUCUUUGAACGCACAUUGCGCCCCUUGGUAUUCCGGGGGGCAUGCCUGUUCGAGCGUCAU
rnacentral:rRNA from 13 species